GCAGGAGGAGGAGGUGAAACAUGGGGCACAUAGUAGGGUGUAUCGGGAAGAAGGAGAAAAGAAAGAUCAUCCACAGAGAAGCUCGACGUAGAAGGACGUGGGUAGUAAGAGCGAGACUCGUCAAAGGUCACAUCACGCGAGAUGCGCAAGCGGCGACCAACAGGGUCCCAACAACGAUAGCCCUUGUGCUCAUCACUGUAGCCAAGGAAAACGCACUCAACCGACUGAGUAGUCAGUUUGGUGCGUUCUCGCGGGGCAAGAAGGACAUAACACACACAUCCAAACAUACGAAGAGCUGAGUAGUCAGGAGGUCUACCAGUGAGACACUCCAUAGGAAUACCACCCUGCAGAGCAGUCGAGGGCUAAAUGUUGAUGAGAUAGGUGGAUGCAGACACAACCUCAGCCCAAAAGUGGGGUGGAAGAGAAGCGGCAAUCAUCAGCGCACGAGCCGUCUCAAGCAGAUGAUGAUGCUUAUGUUCGGCAACGCCAUUUUGAGCAUGAGCACUAGGGCAUGAGAACUAGGCAAGAGUACCCUGUUCUGCAAGAAAACCACGCAACAGCUGGGAGAUAAACUCUCCAGCGGAGUCAGCACGAAAGGUGCAAUGGGCGUGGAAAGCUGGGUGUGAACCAUGGCAGCAAAUCGUUUGUAUAUAUAGAGGACCUCGCUACAAUAUUUCAUAAAAUAGAGCCAAAUGUAACGAGAGAAAUCAUUAAUAAACAAAUCAUAGUAGCGAUGACCACCUUUCGAAUCAAAGGGAGCAGGACCCCAAACAUCAGAAUGAACUAAGUCAAAAGGAUGCUGAGAUACGGACUCGCUAGUAGGAUAAGGUAAUUGGGUCUGUUUGCCAAGUCUAAAACCAUUACAACGUAAGGAAACAUCUCCAGAUACAGACCCUAAGAGGCCCUGAUGAACUAAAGAAGACAAGUGAGAACCACAGAUGUGACCAAGGCGAUGAUGCCGCUGCUGGAAGGACGCAGACGAAGAGGCAGCAAGAGCAUGAGAGCUGGCAUAUGAGGCAGCAGCGGAAGGAACACGAAGCCAGUCAACCUCCCAAAGGCCCUCAGACUCACGGCGCCGAGGGCCAGCGCCAACCAGAGCCUGAGUGCGACAAUCCUGAACAGAACAAGAGUCGGCAUCAAGAAUGACACGACAACCAGAAUCAGUAAGUUGGGCAGUGGAAAAAAGAUUCAUGGUAAGACGUGGGAAAUGAGACACACUAGGAACCAAAAAGGACGGAGUGGAGAGGAUGCCACGACUAGUAACAGGAAGAGGUGUGCCAUCAGCAAUGAGAACAUUAAGAGGAAAAUCAAGAGGUUGAAGAGAAGAUAACGCAGAAGAAUCAGAAGACAUAUGAAAAGAAGCUCUAGAAUACAGAACCCACGAGGAUGUACCUGACUGAGUAGGCUCCGACAGAGGCGGAGUGGUGAUGGAGGUCACAGCAGCAACAGAACCGUCGAGGAAGAACCAGACGAAGCUAACAUGCGCUUGAACCGCAUAAUAUCCUGGUCAGUGAGCGACGAAGUCGAGGAAGGCGCACGAGCCCCAUGAUACGUCCAUUUUGCAUCAUGCUUUUAUAUCAAUAUUUAUUGCAUUAUGGGCUGUUAUUAUACAUUAUCUCAAUACUUAUGGCUAUUCUCUCUUAUUUUACAAGGUUUACCAUGAAGAGGGGGAAUGCCGGCAGCUGGAAUUCUGGCUGGAAAAGGGGCAAAUGUUGGAAACCUAUUCUGCACAACUCCAAAAGUCCUGAAACUCCACGAAACAACUUUUUGGAAUUAAUAGGAAUUUAUGAGCCAAAGAAAUAGGCCAGGGGGCCCACACCCUGUCCAGGAGACAGCCCCCCCUAUAGGGCGCGCCCCCUAUCUCCUGGGCCCCCUGGUGGGCCUCCGGCGUCCAUCUUCUGCUAUAUAAUCACUUUUACCCUGGAAAAAAUCGUGGGCAAGCUUACAGGAUGAAAAUCCACUGCCACGAGGCGGAAUCAAUCUAGGGCUCUGGCAGAGCUGUUCUGCCGGGGACACUUCCCUCCGGGAGGGGGAAAUCAUCACCAACGUCAUCACCAAUGAUCCUCUCAUUGGGAAGGGGUCAAUCUUCAUCAACAUCUUCAUCAGCACCAUCUCAUCUCAAACCCUAGUUCAUCUCUUGUAUCCAAUCUUGUAUGAAAACCACAAAUUGGUACCUGUGGGUUGCUAGUAGUGUUGAUUACUCCUUGUAGUUGAUACUAAUUGGUUUACUUGGUGGAAGAUCAUAUGUUCAGAUCCUUUAUGCAUAUUAUUACCCCCCUAAUUAUGAACAUGAAUAUGCUUUGUGAGUAGUUACGUUUGUUCCUGAGGACAUGGGAGAAGUCUUGCUAUUAGUAGUCAUGUGAAUUUGGUAUUCGUUCGAUAUUUUGAUGAGAUGUAUGUUGUCUUUUCCUCUAGUGGUGUUAUGUGAAUGUUGACUACAUGGCACUUCACCAUUAUUUGGGCCUAGAGGAAGGCAUGGGGAAGUGAUAAGUAGAUGAUGGGUUGCUAGAGUGACAGAAGCUUAAACCCUAGUUUAUGCGUUGCUUCGUUAGGAGUUGAUAUGGAUCCAUAUGUCUAAUGCUAUGGUUAGGUUUACCUUAAUACUUUUUUUGUAGUUGCGGAUGCUUGCAAUAGGGGUUAAUCAUAAGUGGGAUGCUUGUCCAAGUUAGGGCAGUACCCAAGUACCGGUCCACCCACAUAUCAAAUUAUCAAAGUACCGAACGCGAAUCAUUUGAGCGUGAUGAAAACUAGCUUGACGAUAAUUCCCAAUGUGUCCUCGGGAGCUCCUUCCUCAUUAUUAGAAAUUGUCCAGGCUUAUCCUUUGCUACAUAAAGGAUUGGGCCACCUUGCUGCACUUUAUUUACUUUAUUGACUUGUUGCUCGUUACUAUUUAUCUUAUCACAAAACUAUCUAUUACCUACAAUUUCAGUGCUUGCAGAGAAAACCUUACUGAAAACCGCUUAUCAUUUCCUUCUGCUCCUCGUUGGGUUCAACACUCUUACUUAUCGAAAGGACUACGAUAGAUCCCCUACACUUGUGGGUCAUCAAGACUCUUUUCUGGCGCCGUUGCCGGGGAGUGUAGCGCUUUUGGUGAGUGGAACUUGGUAAGGAAACAUUUAUAUAGUGUGCUGAAUUUUUUGUUACUUUUUACUAUGGAAACUAACCCUUUGAGGGGCUUGUUUGGGGUAUCUUCACCCCAACCAGAAUAGCAAAGAGUUUCUCCUCAACCUACUGAACUUGAUGAAAAUAUUUCUUUUGAGAUUCCUUCGGGUAUGAUAGAGAAAGCUAAUCUAUUUGCAGGAGAUGGAACAUUGCAUCCCGAUUUACACCUUAUCUUUGUGGAUGAAGUUUGUGGAUUAUUUAAGCUUGCAGGUAUUCCCGAUGAUGUUGUCAAAAGGAAGGUCUUCCCUUUAUCUUUGAAGGGAGAUGCAAUGACAUGGUAUAGGCUAUGUGAUGAUACAAGAUCUUGGAAUUAUAAGCGAUUGAAGUUGGCAUUUCACCAGAAGUUCUAUCCUAUGCAUCUUGUUCAUUGUGAUCGUAAUUACAUAUAUAAUUUCUGGCCUCGCGAAGGAGAAAGCAUCGCCCAAGCUUGGGGGAGGCUUAAGUCAAUGUUAUAUUCAUGCCCCAAUCAUGAGCUCUCUCGGGAAAUGAUUAUUCAGAAUUUCUAUGCUCGGCUUUCUCUUGAUAAUCGCAACCUGCUCAAUACUUCCUGCGCUGGUUAUUAUAUGCUGAAGACUAUUGAUUUCAAAUGGGACUUAUUGGAAAGAAUUAAACGCAACUCCAAAGAUUGGGGUUCCGACGAUGGUAAGGAGUCAGGUAUGACACCUAAGUUCGAUUGUGUUAAAUCUUUUAUGGAUACCAAUGUUUUUCGUGGAUUUAGCGCUAAGUAUGGACUUGACUCUGAGAUAGUAGCUACUUUUUGUGAAUCUUUUGCUACUCACGUUGAUCUCCCUAAGGAGAAGUGGUUUAAAUAUAAUCCUCCUGCUGAAGUGAAAGUAGUUGCACCUAUUACAGUCGAAGAAAAGAUUAUCACCUAUAGUGAUCCUACUGUUCCUACUGCUUAUGUUAAAAAACCUCCUUUUCCUGUUAGGAUAAAGGAUCAUGCUAAAGCUUUGACUGUUGUUCGUAAGAGUAAUACUAGGACUUAUACACCUCCUGAGCAAAUUAAUGUUGAACCUAGUAUUGCUAUGGUUAAAGAUCUCUUGGACGAGGACUUAGAUGGGCAUGUUAUUUCUUUCUUGGGUGAGACUGCAAAUAUUGCUAGACCUGAUACUAAGACACAUAGACUUGUCGUAGGCACGCCUGUUAUUUAUGUUAAAAUAGGAGAUCAUUGUUAUCAUGGCUUAUGUGAUAUGGGUGCCAGUGCUAGUGCGAUACCUUAUGAUCUUUAUAAAGAAAUUAUGCACGACAUUGCACCCAUUGAAUUAGAAGACAUUGAUGCUACUAUUAAGCUUGCUAAUAGGGAUACCAUUAAACCUAUUGGGAUUGUUAGAGAUGUUGAAGUUUUGUGUGGGAAGGUUAAAUACCCUGCUAAUUUUCUUGUUCUUGCUUCCCCACAAGAUGCCUUUUGUCCCAUUAUUUUUGGUAGGCCCUUCUUGAAUAAUGCUAGUGCUAAGAUUAAUUGUGAAAGGAAUAUUGUCACUGUUGGCAUAGAUGGUAUGUCUCAUGAGUUUAAUUUUGCUAAGUUUAGUAGACAACCUCGUGAAAGGGAACCACCUAGUAAGGAUGAGAUUAUUGGUCUUGCUUCCAUUGCCGUUCCUCCAACUGAUCCGUUAGAACAAUAUUUGCUAGACCAUGAAAAUGAUAUGUUUAUGAAGGAAAGGGAAUAAAUAUAUGAAGUGUUUCUUAAAUAGGAACCUAUGCUGAAACAUAACCUUCCCGUUGAAAUUCUUGGGGAUCCCCCUCCACCCAAGGGUGAUCCCGUGUUUGAACUCAAACCAUUACCUGAUAAUCUUAAGUAUGCUUAUCUUGAUGAAAAAGAAAUAUAUCAUGUUAUUAUUAGUGCUAACCUUUUAGAGAAAGAAGAAGAAAGAUUGUUGAAAACUCUGAAGAAGCACCGUGCAGCUAUUGGAUAUACUCUGGAUGAUCUUAAGGGCAUUAGUCCCACAUUAUGCCAACACAAGAUUUCAGUGGAGAAAGAUGUCAAACCAGUUAGAGAUAAGUGAAGGAAGUGGUAAGUGAAGGAAAUAUGCCCUAGAGACAAUAAUAAAGUUAUUAUUUAUUUCCUUAUAUCAUGAUAAAAGUUUAUUAUUCAUGCUAGAAUUGUAUUAACCGGAAACAUAAUACUUGUGUGAAUACAUAAACAAACAGAGUGUCACUAGUAUGCCUCUACUUGACUAGCUUGUUGAUCAAAGAUGGUUAUGUUUCCUGACCAUAGACAUGUGUUGUCAUUUGAUUAACGGGGUCACAUCAUUAGGAGAAUGAUGUGAUUGACUUGACCCAUUCUGUUAGCUUAGCACUUGAUCGUUUAGUAUGUUUCUAUUGAUUUCUUCAUGACUUAUACAUGUUCCUAUGACUAUGAGAUUAUGCAACUCCCGUUUACCGGAGGAACACUUUGUGUGCUACCAAACAUCACAACGUAACUGGGUGAUUAUAAAGGUGCUCUACAGGUGUCUCCGAAGGUACUUGUUGGGUUGGCGUAUUUCGAGAUUAGGAUUUGUCACUCUGAUUGUCGGAGAGGUAUCUCUGGGCCCUCUCGGUAAUGCACAUCACUUAAGCCUUGCAAGCAUUGCAACUAAUGAGUUAGUUGUGAGAUGAUGUAUUACGGAACGAGUAAAGAGACUUGCCGGUAACGAGAUUGAACUAGGUAUUGAGAUACCGACGAUCGAAUCUCGGGCAAGUAACAUACCGAUGACAAAGGGAACAACGUAUGUUGUUAUGCGGUUUGACCGAUAAAGAUCUUCGUAGAAUAUGUAGGAGCCAAUAUGAGCAUCCAGGUUCCACUAUUGGUUAUUGACCGGAAACAGUUCUAGGUCAUGUCUACAUAGUUCUCGAACCCGUAGGGUCCGCACGCUUAAAGUUACGAUGACAGUUUUAUUACGAGUUUAUAAGUUUUGAUGUACCGAAGGUUGUUCGGAGUCCCGGAUGUGAUCACGGACAUGACGAGGAGUCUCGAAAUGGUCGAGACAUAAAGAUUGAUAUAUUGGAAGCCUAUAUUUGGAUAUCGGAAACGUUCCGGGUGAAAUCGGAAUUUUACCGGAGUACCGGGGGUUACCGGAACCCCCCCGGGGGUUAAUGGGCCUACAUGGGCCAUGAGGGAGAAGAGGAGGGCUGGCCAGGGCAGGCCGCGCGCCCCCUCCCCCCUAGUCCGAAUAGGACAAGGAAGGGGGGGGGCGCCCCCCUUUCCUCUUUCCCCUGCCCCCUUUCCUUCUCCACCAAGGCAAGAAGGGGGAGUCCUACUCCCGAUGGGAGUAGGACUCCUCCAGGCGCACCCCUAGGGGGCCGGCCGCACCUCCCCCUCCCUCCUUUAUAUACGGGGGCAGGGGGGCACCUCUAGACACAUAAGUUGAUCAUCGUGAUCAUUCCUUAGCCGUGUGCGGUGCCCCCUCCACCAUAUUCCACCUCGGUCAUAUCGUUGCGGUGCUUAGGCGAAGCCCUGUGUCGGUAGAACAUCAUCAUCGUCACCAUGCCGUCAUGCUGACGGAACUCAUCCCCGACACCUUGUUGGAUCGGAGUCCGGGGAUCGUCAUCGAGCUGAACGUGUGCUGAACUCGGAGGUGCCGUACGUUCGGUACAUGGAUCGGUCGGAUCGUGAAGACGUACGACUACAUCAACCGCGUUGUCAUAACGCUUCCGCUUACGAUCUACAAGGGUACAUGGACAACACUCUCCCCUCUCGUUGCUAUGCAUCACCAUGAUCUUGCAUGUGCGUAGGAAUUUUUUUGAAAUUACUAUGUUCCCCAACAGUAAGAAAGGAGGUACUAAAGCUCCUUGAGGCAGGUAUUAUUUAUCCCGUUGCUGAUAGUGAAUGGGUAAGCCCUGUCCAUUGUGUCCCUAAAAAGGGAGGUAUUACCGUAGUUCCUAAUGAUAAAGAUGAAUUGAUCCCGCAAAGAAUUAUUACAGGUUAUAUGAUGGUAAUUGAUUUUCGUAAGUUGAAUAAAGCUACUAAGAAAGAUCAUUACCCUUUACCUUUCAUUGAUCAAAUGCUAGAAAGACUGUUGUAAGGGCAUAUUUAUCCCUCAGGUGUUUUGGUGAUUGAUGACAAUGCAUUUGCGGACUAAUCGUGUGCCUUGAGUUUCUUAGGUUAUUCAUCUCUAGGCACGAGACGAUUCGGUGCCCCUCGGAGACUUUUGAAGUCGGCGUUGUUCUACGUUUCUCUUUGGUGGAUUUGAGUCAUAGGAGAGCCGUACUAUUAAGAGGGGGUCCGCAUCGGAAAGGUUUGGGUGGAAUCAACACAUACACUUGUCCCUCCUUUCCCUGCAUUUUGGAGCUUCCCCUUGUUAUCUUGGUUGUGCGGAAAUCUGACGACUACUGCUGUACUUGCAGUAGUACCGCAAGUACAUGCGGUAGUACCGCUGUGUGUCACGGUAGUACCGCGGCUCCCAGGCCUUGUGCCGCUCCUGUGCGGUAGUAGGGGCGGAUGUAAUUUUUUACAUCCGCGCCCUCCAUGGUAGUACCGCUCGUCCAGCGCGGCAGUACCGCGGGGGCCCAUGGUAGUACCGCUCCCUAGGAGUUGUAGUACCGUGGCCCUCCUACCUAGUACCGCAGUGUCGCGGUAGUAGGAGCGGAUGUAAUUUUUUACAUCCGCGCCCGCACGGUAGUACCGCGCCUCGCGAGCGGUAGUACCGCGUCGGAUUUUUGUACCACCUCUGUUUCAGUGGAAGUAGGCACGGAUGUAAUUUAUUUCAUCCGCGCCCUUCCCAGGCUGUGACUUUCCUGCCUAGCGGUAGUACCGCAAGUGGGUGCGGUAGUACCGCGCAAGCGGUAGUACUGCCCCCUUGUCAGGCUAGUUCCGGCCUGUGCUGCUGUCGCGGUAGUACUGUGGUCAGCCAUGGUAGUACCCCUCCCCUGGAGCGGUAGUACCGUGUGUCGCGGGUUGAACAUGUGGAUAACGGUUGGAUUCUUUCCACGACUAUAUAAGGGGUGUCUUCUACCUCUAGUUGACUACCUCUUCCAUCUCUAAGCUCCAUUGUUGCUCCAAGCUCCAUUUUCACUCGAUCUCUCUCCCUAGCCAAUCAAACUUGUUGAUUUGCUCGGGAUUGGGUGACAAGUGCCCGAUCUACACUUCCACCACAGGAUAUUUGAUUCCCCCCACUUAUCCCUAGCGGAUCGUGUUACUCUUGGGUGUUGAGCACCCUAGACGGUUGAGGUCACCUCGAAGCCACACUCCAUUGUGGUGAAGCUUCACGGUAUUGUUGGGAGCCUCCAAGUGUUGUGGAGAUUGCCCCAAUCUUGUUUGUAAAGGUUCGGUUGCCGCCUUCAAGGGCUCCAAUAGUGGAAUCACGGCAUCUCGCAUUGUGUGAGGGCGUGAGGAGAUUACGGUGGCCCUAGUGGCUUCUUGGGGAGCAUUGUGCCUCCACACCGCUCUAACAGAGACGUACUUCCCCUUAAAAGGAAGGAACUUCGGUAACACAUCCUCGUCUCCACCGGCUCCACUCUUGGUUUUCUUGUCCCUUUACUUUUGCAAGCUUACUUGUGCUAUAUCCAUUGCUUGCUUGUGUGCUUAUUGUCUUUGCAUCAUAUAGGUUGUCCACGUAGUUGCACAUCUAGACAACCUAUUUCACUACAAGUUUUAAAUUGUUAAAGAAAAGUCUAAAAAGUGUUAGUUGCCUAUUCACCCCCCCUCUAGUCAACCAUAUCGAUCCUUUCAAUUGGUAUCAGAGCCUCGUCUCUUUAUUAAGGACUUUGUCGUCUGAAGAGUAUGGUUGACGUCAACGAUGGUGCGGAGGAACACUCCGGUGUGAAUCCCAUCUCGUCUUUGGCUGAAGGGGGAACCUCGGUCUGACGUGAGGAAUUCAAUGUGGCUUUAGACACAUUGAAAACCUCCAUGACGGCCGAGGUUAAAAGCAUGUUUACUGAAUUUCUAGAGGGACUUAAACUAUCUACCUCACCAAUGAAAGUGGGUGAUCCCACUAACAAGGUGACGGAUGCUAACUCCGAUAAGGGGGAAGCUAACAAUGAAAAGAGUCCUUCUACUAGUGGUAGAAAUGGCACCGGCAUCUUUGCCCAUGUGGAACCCCCGGUGUAUAGAGGACCUAUCCCCUCUACUCAUUUGAAUCAUGCCGGUCCUCCUCCUAAAUAUGUGAAAAAUGAAGAUUAUGAUUCUUGGGUUUAUCGCUUCAAGCGUCAUUUAAAACAUGUGAAUACUAACCUUUGGAGAAUUAUUGAAGAAGGUUUCUAUCCUCAUGAUCCAAGCAACUUCACCCCUCGAGAAGAAGUGGACAAUCAAUUCAAUGAGAGUGCUCUCUUCAUCAUCCAAGAUGCUAUCCUUCCUGAAGAUCUCCCUCAUCUUCGACCUCAUGUCAUGGCUAAAGAAGCAUGGAAGUGUGUUGAGCGUAUGUAUAGAGGAAGUGCUAGCAUUCAACGCUCCAACUAUGAAGUGGUGCAAGAUGAAGCCGAUGAGUUUGCAAUGAAGGAGGAUGAAGAACCUCGUGAGCUCUUUCGAAGAGUGACCAAAUUUGCGGUCGCACUCCGAGAUCAUGGGAGUAAGGACACGGAUGACAACUGGAUCAAGUGCAAGUUCCUCAAGGCCAUGAUGCCCUACAACAAGGCCAUGUCCUCCGUCAUCCGCCAAAGACCGGACUUCCACUCCAUGACCUCUGGUGAAGUGUUGGAUGAGUUUGUUGCAAUGAACAUCUUGGAUAAGACCGCCGACAAUGCGGUGCUCCGUUCCCAAAGGGCAAACAAGCCCAAUCUUGCCUUGAAGGCCAAGGUUAGUGUGGAAGAAGAAGAAGAAGAGGAAGAUGAGGAGAGCAACCCCGAGGACACGAAGUAUGAUUAUCAUGAGCACAUGGCUCUUGCCUCAAGACGGUUUUGGAGUAAGAAGACUACAAGACCCAACUUCAACAAGAACAACUCAAGUGGCCUCAAGGGGAAGCAACGAGUUAGAACUUGUUUCAACUGUGGCAAUGUCAGCCAUUUCGUUGCGGAUUGUCCAUACGAGAAGCGGGAAGACAAUGGUGGCAAGUUCAUUCGAAAAGACAAAGCCAAGUCCUUCCCCAACAAGAACAACUUCACCAAGAAGACUCCUUCUUGCGGGUUGGUGGUUCAAGAAGAAUACCGUGAGGAUGACGAUGAUGAUGAAGAUGGUGAAACAAUGGCCAUGGCGUCCGUGGCCAUUGUCUCAACUCCUCGGGUGUCUCUCUUCGAUGCACCUAACGAGAACAUCACCGCCAAGUGCCUCAUGGCUAAGGCCACCAACAAGGUAACCCCCAACAUCAAAACCACCAUUAUUCCUAACCCUCCUUCAAUAGAUGACUUUGAUAAUGGUAAGGGGUCUAAUGAGGAGAUCAAUGAAUUUGAGUCCUUCAUGAGUAAGCUCAAGGGCAAAUCCAAGAAGCAUUUCGUUGCUCUCUUGGAACAACUUGGUGAAGCCAAUGACAUGAUCGGGGCUCAUGAAGAAACCAUCACUAAGAUGGAAAGUCAUAGUCAUGACUAUGCCGAUGAGAUAUCGGAUCUCUCUAAUGCUCUUGAGGAAGAGCGUGAGCAUCGUUUGGCUCUUGAGGAGUCACAAAACGAUGGUCAUGCUAAACUAAAGAAAGAUCUUGAUCAUGGUCUUGUUGUGUCUCGUGUUCUAGCUUCUGAGAAGGCUAAACUUGGGGUUGAUCAUGUUAUACUCACGGAGGAGUUUGAUGUACUUGAUAAGGCCCACAAGGUCUUGAAAGGUGCUCAUGCCACCCUCAAGGAGUCUCAUGCUCAACUCCAAGUGAAGCUAACUAAGGAAAAGGCCACAUUUCCUCACAUAGUCUUAAUUGAUAAUGCAAAUGCUACUAACCCAUGUUGUGAGCAUGUGCAUCUUGUGGAGGAAAAUGCCAAGUUGAAGGAACAACUUGAGAAAGGUCUUGUGUCAUGCAUACAAGGCGAGAAGAACCUAAAUGACCUUUUGAGCAAUCAAAAGGAAGUUGUGGGCAAGGAGGGAGUUGGGUUCGCACCCAAGUCCAAGAACAAGAAGAAGAACAAGGAGAAGAAGAGCAAGACCAAUCGACCUCCUCCGCUCACGCAAACCUUUGUGAAGGAGGGAGAAGGUGCUCCUAAGGAGAAUAAGAACAAUGGGAAGAGUGGUGAAGCCAAAGAGCGCAACGCCAUCUCUCCCAACAAAGCCGGCGACUUUAACCCCUCUUAUGUGUUGUGCCGUGCUAGUGAUGGACAUGUUUAUGCUAAAUUUGUUGGUUCUCCUUAUGAGUACAUUGAAUGGUCUAUUUGGGUUCCUAAGACCCUUGUUACUAACAUCAAAGGACCCAUUACUCAAUGGGUACCUAAAACCAAGCAUUGAUCUCUUGUAGGUGUUUGCUUCCGGUGGGGGAUCAUGGUUGCUCGAUAGUGGAGCAACAAAUCAUAUGACCGGGAGCAAGGACUUGGUGGUGGACGUGCACAAUAUCCCAUCUAUGCCCACCAAUGUCGAAUGGGGUGAUGCCUCACAUUCUAAGGUAUUGGGUCUUGGCAAGGUUGUCAUUUCUCAUGAUCUAACGAUCGAGAAAGUCAUGCUUGUUGAGUCCCUUGCGUUCAAUUUACUUUCCGUUCAUCAACUUGCACUCAUGGGUUUUGCCACCUUCUUUGAUAUUGAUACGGUGGCCCUCUUAUGGAGCAAGACUCUUAAAGUAGCCUUUGUUGGGCAUGUCGAGAAUGGUAUCUAUGUGGUUAACUUCUCGGAGCAACCCACUAAGACCGCGACAUGCCUAAUGGCUAAAGUUGAUGUGGGAUGGCUUUGGCAUCGCCGUUUAGCCCACGUCAAUAUGAGAUCUUUGCAAAGUCUUCUCAAGGGGGACCAUGUCCAUGGACUAACGAAUGUUAGUUUUGCCAAAGAUCGUGUUUGCAGUGCUUGUAUCGAAGGAAAGCUUCAUGAGAUGGCUCACCCUCCCACGACUAUCAUCUACUCGAAGAGACCCUUGGAGGUCCUCCACAUGGACCUCUUUGGGCCCCCAUCCUUUGAUAGUCUUGGGGGUAGAAAGUAUUGCUUGGUUAUAGUGGAUGAUUAUUCAAGAUACACGUGGGUAUACUUCUUCAAGAGGAAGAGUGAGACUCAACAAACCGUCAUCGACUUUGCAAAUGAAGCUCAAAGUCAACACAAUGCAAAGAUCUUGACAAUAAGAAGUGACAACGGCACCGAGUUCAAGAACUACACCUUGGAUGAGUUUCUUAGUGAUGAAGGGAUCAAGCAUCAAUAUUCUGCACCAUAUACCCCUCAACAAAAUGGUGUUGCGGAGAGGAAGAACCGGACGUUGAUGGAUGCGGCAAGGACCAUGAUGGCGGAGUUCAAGUCUCCAUACAACUUCUGGGACGAAGCCAUCAACACAGCUUGUCAUGCAUCCAAUCGGCUCUAUCUCCGCAAAGGCUUGAACAAGACUCCGUAUGAGAUACUCACCGGGAACAAGCCCAAUCUCAAGUACUUCCAGGUGUUCGGGUGUAAGUGUUUCAUUCUCAAGAAAGGUGUUCGUUUGUCUAAAUUUGAAGCUAGAGCUCAUGAGGGCAUAUUUGUUGGUUAUGCUACAAACUCUCAUGCUUACCGUGUUCUCAACAAGUCCAACGGACUCAUUGAGGAGACGUGUAACAUAGAGUUUGAUGAAAAUAACGGCUCCCAAGUGGAGCAAAGUGGUACUUGUGAUGUAGGUGAUGAAAUUCCUCCCCAAGCCAUAAGAAUAAUGGGUAUUGGUCAUAUCCUACCCAUUGAGGAACCCCUUGUGGCCGAAGGAGAAGGACAAUGCUCCACUCAAGUGGAGCCAUCACCUCCCCAAGACCCACACGCUUCCGAAGAACAAAGUGAAGGCCCUCACCUUCAUGAACAAGACCAAGGGCAAGAUCAACCUCAAGAUGGAGGUGAACCUCUAAAUGAUGCCCAAGGUCAAGUUCUCCCCCUCGAGCAAGUUCAAGAUCAUGAGCAAGCUCAAGACGGCGCUCAAGAUGAUCAAGUUAACCUUCCUCCUUCCACACCCGAGGAAGAAUUAGAGCGUCGUGCCGCGAAGAUUGCUUCCAAACUCACCACCCAAGGCCAUCUCAUGGAAAACGUGGUUGGAAGUCUAAGAAAGGGGGUAAGCACUCAUAGACAAUUAGCUAACUAUUGUGAACAUCAUGCGUUUGUCUCUUGUGUUGAACCCCAAAAGGUCUAUGAGGCGCUCGAAGACUCGGAUUGGCUCAAUGCCAUGCAUGAAGAACUAAACAACUUCGAGUACAACAAGGUGUGGAGAUUGGUGCCAAGACCUUCGGGGAACCACAACGUCAUUGGAACAAAGUGGAUCUUCAAGAACAAGCAAGAUGCUCAUGGGAACAUCAUUCGCAACAAGGCAAGAUUGGUAGCACAAGGCUACUCCCAAGUCGAGGGCAUCGACUACGGUGAAACCUUUGCUCCCGUUGCUCGUCUUGAAUCCAUUAGUUUGUUGAUUGCUUAUGCUUCCCAUCACAACUUUAAGUUGCAACAAAUGGAUGUGAAAAGUGCUUUUCUUAAUGGUCCCAUUAAUGAGUUGGUUUAUGUCAAGCAACCCCCCGGGUUCGAGGACCCCUACUUCCCGGAUCACGUGUAUCAACUCGAUAAGGCACUCUAUGGCCUUAAACAAGCCCCACGUGCGUGGUAUGACCACCUUACUGAGUUGCUACAAGAUCGUGGAUUUGAAGUAGGACAAAUCGAUCCCACUCUUUUUACUAAGAAGGUCAAAGGGGAGUUGUUUGUAUGCCAACUAUAUGUUGAUGAUAUUAUCUUUGGUUCUCCUAACAAAGCUUUCAAUGAGGAAUUUGCCGCUCUCAUGACCUCCAAGUUCAAGAUGUCUUCGAUGGGAGAGUUGAAGUUCUUCCUUGGUUUUGACAUCAAACAACGAAGAGAAGGAACCUUCAUCAACCAAGCCAAAUACACUCAAGACAUGCUUAAAAGAUUCAAGCUAAGUGAUGUCAAGCCGGCUUCUACACCAAUGCCUACCAAGUGCCAACUUGACAUCAAUCCCAAUGGUAAAGCGGUGGAUCAAAAGGUAUAUCGCUCCAUGAUUGGCUCCUUGCUUUACCUUUGUGCAUCUAGACCGGAUAUCAUGUUGAGUGUGGGGAUGUGUGCACGGUUUCAAGCCGCACCAAAGGAAAGUCACUAUGUGGCGGUCAAGAGAAUCUUUCGAUAUUUGGCUCAUACCCCAAACUUUGGCUUAUGGUACCCAAGAGGAGCAAAUUUCAAGCUUGAAGGUUUCACGGAUUCCGAUUGGGCGGGGGACAAAGUGGAUAGGAAGUCCACUUCCGGAGGGUGCCAAUUUCUUGGUUGCUCUUUGGUAAGUUGGUCUUCCAAGAAGCAAAGUUGUGUGUCCCUCUCGUCCACCGAAGCGGAGUAUGUGGCGGCCGGUAGUUGUUGUGCUCAACUCCUAUGGAUGAGGCAAACUUUAAAGGAGUACGGUGUCAUUUGUGACAAAGUGCCUCUUUGGUGUGAUAAUGAAAGUGCCAUCAAGAUUUCUCUCAACCCGGUACAACACUUCAAGACGAAGCACAUUGAGAUUCGGUAUCACUUCAUCCGGGAUCACAUUAGGCAAGGGGAGAUCGAGCUCAAGUAUGUCAACACUCAUGAUAACCUUGCAGAUAUUUUCACGAAGCCCUUGGAUGAAGCAAGAUUUCGCGAGUUAAGGCAUGAGCUAAAUAUCAUUGAUUCGAGCAAUGUGACUUGAACCCGUACACCCCCCACCACACUCAACGUGUUGUCUAGUUUAGGUGUAGGCAUGGACAUAGGGGGAGUGUUGUUCUCUCAAUGAACUCUCCCUCCCCCCAUUAUGCAUAAAUCGAUCACCUCUUUCACAUUAGCCAUUUUUAAUGGUACUUGUGCUUCAAAGACGAGUUUUGGUCAUGGGCCCAAGGAUAAUUCUUCGCGGUGCCAUACCAUCCAACUCAAACAUAGGUGGCUUCGGCCACCACCCUCUCUCCUCGAGAGGCUUUGUCGCUUGGUGGUUUCUUGUUGUCUUUUUGCCUCUGGUUUGUGCGUGUUCUUGUGGUUUCUUGUGUGUGAAAGUUUCCGUGCAAAGGCUUUUUCUUAUCGUGUUGAAACUUGCGGUGACUUGAGCUCACGGUACUACCGCGGCCAGAUACGGUACUACCGCAGCCAGCCAUGGUACUACCGCUUGCGGGAGCACGGUACUACCGUCACCACGCGGCAGUAAUUUUUUACUGCCGCCUGGUUGAGCGGUACUUCCGCCCGAGCGGUACUACCGCGAUGAUACGCGGUACUACCACGUCGGUUCGAGCGCGUGGGGAUAAGGAUGGGCAGGGGGAGUUUUAACUCCCCAUACCCAUUCGCUGUCCUCUCUCUCCAUGUCGCCUCCUUCUCUCCCUCGCUCAAGAACGGAGCCGGCGUUCAUCGCCGGAUCUCCUCCACCGGCUGCCCUCCCGUGAUUCCGACCGGUGGGAUCGUUCCCCACCACGUGCUCUUGAUAUGGACCAAGGUUUUUCCCCAACUCCCUCUCCGUGUUGAUUGUGUUUAGUGUUUCUAGGUUUUUGGGGAGGCUUGUGUGUUCUUGAGAUUCUUAGGCUUAAUCUCUGCAAGAGUAGGAUGAAGGAGCGUGGUAUUGCAUAGGAUUUAUACUUGUAUUAUUGUCUUGCGCUAGAUCGGAUCACCGUAGCACCGCCAUUGUUUCGCGGUUCUUUUCAGAUUCAAACCGCCAGUUGGAUCUGAUGCGACGCGGUACUACCGCCCGUCUGGCGCGGUACUAUCGCUUGCACGGUACUACCGCGCGUCUGGCGCGGUACUACCGCUUGCACGGUACUACCGCCCUUCGGGAGCGGUACUACCGCGCUCUGUGCGGUACUAAAAUUUUACUUCCGCUCCAACCACGGUACUACUGUGACCUCGCACGGUACUACCGCGUUUGGAGCAGUACUGAUAUUUUAGUACCGCAGGCAGUGGCAGUUCUACCGUGGCUCACAUCUAUCGCAUGCCAACUUUCUCGUAUGCCUUCUAUGUGUUUAUUGUGCUUUUUCGUGGCCUUUGCAUUGAUCCUUUCGUGUCUUUGGUGUUUUGCGUGUGUGUCUCAGGUGGCGGCUCUCGCCGGUCCAACCCCAGUCGUGACACUGGUUCCAAACGUCUGCGCAACCCGGGUGAUGUACCAGAGGGCUCGUCUGCCUCCAAGCGCAAUGUCAAGCACUCAACUAGCAAGCACAAGGAGCCCGCUAAGGGCAUGGAUGAGAUAGCCCAAGCUGAUUAUGUCCGUCUCAGGCAGCUUCACCCUUAUGUGCACCCGCGUUCCACUUUCAGAGGCUGUGAGCUGUUCUGGAACAAGCAACAGACCAACAUCUAUCUGGAUGUCAUCAAGAACAAGCAGAAUACCUAUGUGGAGGUGAAGUGGAUUGAUAUGCAUCACAUGAGGAAGAACAAGUUCCGUGACUACUUUGGAGAGGCUCUGGACUUGGUGGAGCAGUUUGGUAUUGAGCAUGUGUUAACCUUCCACCUCGACUAUGACCCUGAGCUUAUCUGUCAGUUCUUUGCCUCAGUCUACUUUCACUCCGAUGAGGAAUGGAGGAUGACCUGGAUGACCAAUGGUCGUAAGCUGUCUGCUACCUGGAAGGAGUUCAUGGAUCUUCUCCAGGUUCCUGAUGAUGGGCUCAACUCUCUAGUGGGUGUUCGCCCCCAUGCCAAUGAUGAGUCUGCCAGCAAGGACAGGCUUUCCCCAUUCAUGGUUGAGAAGGCGCUCGCCAAUGGCAAGACAACUUUGGUGCUCAACCCUUUCCUGGAUAUCAUGUAUCGCAUCUUCCGCAACUCCCUGUUCCCUCGCAUCGGUGACAAAGACAAGGUUCAUGCCUAUAUGGUGGACAUGAUGCUCAUCUGCGAGGAGGCUCGUUCUUCUCAGUCUCAGCCACUUGAUGUCUCACACAUCAUGUGGUGUGAGCUCCGGUUUGCAGUGUUCAACCGCAAGGUGCCUAUCUAUGGGCCCUAUCUGUUUCUGCUGAUUUCAAAGACUUGGGAGAAGAUGUUCCCUGAUGAGGAGUUUCUUGCUCCAGACUGGGUUCGCCAUGAGCCCCUGCCUGCGUAUCAAAUCCAACUGGGCCAACACCACUACUCGUGCCGAGGCGACUGCUGCUAGGGCUGCUGUUGAUGAGGAGGAUGAUGGCGCCGAGGAUGUUGCUGAGGGCCGUGCUGCUAGGCCUUCCCAGAGUGCCGCUAUGCCAUCAUGGGCCAAGAAGCUGAAGGACAAGAUGAAGACUCUUUUCUGCAUGCAAGCCAAGGGGCAGUACAGGACUCACGUGGCGUCCAAGGAGAGUCGUCGCCGGGACAACAAGAUCCUGCAGCUCUAUGGUGAGGCAGUGUCUGGGGGUCUGAGGAGCACAUCACUCCAGAGGCCGAGUGGAUGGAGAAGCAGGGCUACAGGUGGACUGAGUCUGAGGAGGAUGUCGAGGAGUCCAUCCCUGCUACCGAGAGACCGACGGAGAGGCUUGGGACGAGUUCUCUGCUUGAGCCACCUCUUGUGUGUAGGUGUCCUCUCUGCCUUUUUGGCGUCUCGAUGCCAAAGGGGGAGAGAGUGUAGGGAUUUGCGAGUGUGUCGUGUGUUUGCUGCUUUCUCGUUUGAACUAUUUGCUGCUUUCUCGUUUGAACCUCGGUAGCUUUACUUCGUAUGGUGUAAGACAUAUGCACUCUAUCUAUCCUAGCGAGCUUGUGUUAUAUUGUGCUAUCUUUAUGCUAUGCUAUGCUUAUUAUCAUGCCUUGGUCUCUAAAAUAUAGGGGGAGUGUUGAUCCUAGUCUGUGUGCUAUGCAGUCCAAAGCAUUCAUCUAAAGUGCACACAUCUAGGGGGAGCCCGUCUAUAUUUUAGAGAGGUGGGGUUUGCCCCUGCUCUAAAUUAUCUUAUCUAUAUGCAAAUCCCGUGUUGUCAUCAAUCCACCAAAAAGGGGGAGAUUGUAAGGGCAUAUUUAUCCCUCAGGUGUUUUGGUGAUUGAUGACAAUGCAUUUGCGGACUAAUUGUGUGCCAUGAGUUUCUCAGGUUAUUCAUCUCUAGGCACGAGACGAUUCGGUGCCCCUCGGAGACUUUUGAAGUCGGCGUUGUUCUACGUUUCUCUUUGGUGGAUUUGAGUCGUAGGAGAGCCGUACUAUUAAGAGGGGGUCCGCAUCGGAAAUGUUUGGGUGGAAUCAACACAUACACUUGUCCCUCCUUUCCCUGCAUUUUGGAGCUUCCCCUUGUUAUCUUGGUUGUGCGGAAAUCUGACGACUACUGCUGUACUUGCGGUAGUACCGCAAGUACACGCGGUAGUACCGCUAUGUGUCACGGUAGUACCGCUCAUCUGGAGCGGUAGUACCGCGGCUCCCAGGCCUUGUGCCGCUCCGGUGCGGUAGUAGGGGCGGAUGUAAUUUUUUACAUCCGCGCCCUCCACGGUAGUACCGCUCGUCCAGCGCGGUAGUACCGCGGGGGCCCACGGUAGUACCGCUCCCUAGGAGUCGUAGUACCGUGGCCCUCCUACCUAGUACCGCAGUGUCGCGGUUGUAGGCGCGGAUGUAAUUUUUUACAUCCGUGCCCGCACGGUAGUACCGCGCCUCGUGAGCGGUAGUGCCGCGUCGGAUUUUUGUACCACCUCUGUUUCAGCGGAAGUAGGCACGGAUGCAAUUUAUUUCAUCCGCGCCCUUCCCAGGCCGUGACUUUCCUGCCUAGCGGUAGUACCGCAAGUGGGUGCGGUAGUACCACACAAGCGGUAGUACUGCCCCCUUGUCAGGCUAGUUCCGGCCUGUGCUGCUGUCGCGGUAGUACUGUGGUCAGCCACGGUAGUACCGCACAGCUUCGCGGUAGUACCGCUCCCCUGGAGCGGUAGUACCGUGUGUCGCCGGCUGAACAUGUGGAUAACGGUUGGAUUCUUUCCACGACUAUAUAAGGGGUGUCUUCUACCUCUAGUUGACUACCUCUUCCAUCUCUAAGCUCCAUUGUUGCUCCAAGCUCCAUUUUCACUCGAUCUCUCUCCCUAGCCAAUCAAACUUGUUGAUUUGCUCGGGAUUGGGUGACAAGUGCCCGAUCUACACUUCCACCACAGGAUAUUUGAUUCCACCCACUUAUCCCUAGCGGAUCUUGUUACUCUUGGGUGUUGAGCACCCUAGACGGUUGAGGUCACCUCGAAGCCAUACUCCAUUGUGGUGAAGCUUCGCGGUAUUGUUGGGAGCCUCCAAGUGUUGUGGAGAUUGCCCCAAUCUUGUUUGUAAAGGUCCGGUUGCCGCCUUCAAGGGCUCCAAUAGUGGAAUCACGGCAUCUCGCAUUGUGUGAGGGCGUGAGGAGAUUACGGUGGCCCUAGUGGCUUCUUGGGGAGCAUUGUGCCUCCACACCGCUCUAACGGAGACGUACUUCCCCUUAAAAGGAAGGAACUUCGGUAACACAUCCUCGUCUCCACCGGCUCCACUGUUGGUUAUCUUGUCCCUUUACUUUUGCAAGCUUACUUGUGCUAUAUCCAUUGCUUGCUUGUGUGCUUAUUGUCUUUGCAUCAUAUAGGUUGUCCACGUAGUUGCACAUCUAGACAACCUAUUUCAUUGCAAGUUUUUUAAAUUGUUAAAGAAAAGUCUAAAAAGUGUUAGUUGCCUAUUCACCCCCCCUCUAGUCAACCAUAUCGAUCCUUUCAACUGUCCAAACAUACACAUUUUUGCUUUCUAGAUGGUUAUUUUGGUUUCUCUCAGAUACCUGUGUUAGCGAAGGAUCAAUCUAAAACUACUUUUACUUGCCCUUUUGGUACUUUUGCUUAUAGACGUAUGCCUUUUGGUUUAUGUAAUGCACCUGCUACCUUUCAAAGAUGCAUGAUGGCUAUAUUCUUUGAUUUUUGUGAAAAGAUUUGUGAGGUAUUCAUGGAUGACUUCUCCGUCUAUGGAUCCUCCUUUGAUGAUUGUUUGAGCAACCUUGAUCGAGUUUUGCAGAGAUGCGAAGACACUAGUCUCGUCCUGAAUUGGGAAAAGUGUCACUUUAUGGUUAAUGAAGGCAUUGUCUUGGGGCACAAGAUCUCCGAGCGAGGUAUUGAAGUUGAUAAAGCCAAAGUUGAUGCUAUUGAAAAGAUGCCAUGUCCCAAGGACAUAAAAGGUAUAAGAAGUUUCCUUGGUCAUGCCGGUUUUUAUAGGAGGUUCAUUAAGGACUUUUCUAAAAUCUCUAGGCCUCUGACUAAUUUAUUGCAAAAAGAUAUUCCUUUUGUCUUUGAUGAUGAUUGUGUAGAAGCUUUUGAAACACUUAAGAAAGCUUUGAUCACUGCACCUAUUGUUCAGCCACCUGAUUAGAAUUUACCUUUUGAAAUUAUGUGCGAUGCUAGUGAUUAUGAUGUAGGUGAUGUUCUUGGGCAAAGAGUUGAUAAGAAAUUGAAUGUUAUCCAGUAUGCUAGUAAGACUCUUGAUACUGCCCAGAGAAAUUAUGCUACUACUAAAAAAGAGUUCUUAGCAGUUGUGUUUGCUUGUGAUAAGUUUAGACCCUAUAUAGUUGAUUCCAAAGUUACUAUUCACACUGAUCAUGCUGCUAUUAAAUAUCUUAUGGAAAAGAAAGAUGCUAAGCCUAGACUCAUUAGAUGGGUUCUCUUGCUCCAAGAAUUUGACUUGCAUAUUAUUGAUAGAAAAGGAGCUGAGAACCCCGUUGCAGAUAACUUGUCUAGGUUAGAGAAUGUUCUUGAUGACCCACUGCCUAUUAAUGAUAGCUUUCAUGAUGAACAAUUAGCGGUCGUCAAUGCUUCUCGUACUGCUCCUUGGUAUGCUGAUUAUGCUAAUUACAUUGUUGCUAUAUUUAUACCGCCUAGUUUCACAUACCAGCAAAAGAAAAAGUUCUUUUAUGAUUUAAGACAUUACUUCUAGGAUGAUCCACACCUUUAUAAAGAAGGAGUAGAUGGUGUUAUUAGACGUUGUGUGCCUGAGCAUGAAUAGGAACAAAUUCUACGUAAGUGUCACUCUGAAUCUUAUGGAGGACACCACGCUGGAGAUAGAACUGCACACAAGGUACUACAAUCUGGUUUUUAUUGGCCUACUCUUUUCAAAGAUGCUCAUAAGUUUGUCUUAUGCUGUGAUGAAUGUCAAAGAAUAGGUAACAUUAGUAGACGACAAGAAAUGCCUAUGAAUUACUCUCUUGUUAUUGAACCAUUUGAUAUUUGGGGCUUUGAUUAUAUGGGACCUUUUCCUGCCUCUAAUGGUUAUACACAUAUUUUAGUUGCUAUUGAUUACGUUACUAAGUGGGUAGAAGCUAUUCCAACUAGUAGUGCUGAUCAUAACACUUCUAUUAAAAUGCUUAAAGAAGUUAUUUUUUCGAGGUUUGGAGUCCCUAGAUAUCUUAUGACUGAUGGCGGUUCACAUUUUAUUCAUGGUGCUUUCCGUAAGAUGCUUGCUAAGUAUGAUGUCAAUCAUAGAAUCAUAUCUCCUUAUCAUCCGCAGUAUAGUGGUCAAGUAGAGUUGAGCAAUAGAGAGCUCAAAUUAAUUUUGCAAAAGACUGUGAAUAGAUCUAGAAAGAAUUGGUCCAAAAAACUUGAUGAUGCAUUAUUGGCCUAUAGAACUGCAUACAAAAAUCCUAUGGGUAUGUCUCCUUAUAAGAUGGUUUAUGGAAAAGCGUGUCAUUUACCUCUUGAACUUGAACAUAAGGCAUAUUGGGCUAUCAAAGAGCUCAAUUAUGACUUCAAACUUGCCGGUGAGAAGAGGUUAUUCGAUAUUAGCUCACUUGAUGAAUGGAGAACCCAAGCAUAUGAGAGUGCCAAGCUUUUCAAAGAAAAAGUCAAACACUGGCAUGAUAAGAGGAUACAAAAGCGUGAGUUUAACGUAGGAGAUUAUGUGUUAUUAUUCAACUCUCGCUUAAGAUUUUUUGCAGGAAAACUUCUCUCAAAAUGGGAAGGUCCCUAUGUUAUCGAGGAGGUCUAGCAUUCUGGUGCUAUAAAAAUCAACAACUUCGAAGGCACGAAUCCGAGGGUGGUAAACGAUCAAAGAAUUAAACACUAUAUUUCAGGUAAUCCUAUCAAUGUUGAAACUAAUAUUAUUGAAACCAUAACCCCUGAGGAAUACAUAAGGGACACUUUCCAGAACGUUCCAGACUCCGAAAAGGCAUAGGUAUGUGGUACGGUAAGUAAACCGACUCCAAAACAACUCCAAUGGCAAUUUUUAUCAGUUUUGGAUUAUUUAAGAAUUUUAGGAAGAAAGAAGUAGUCCGAAAGGGACACGAGGCUCCCAUGAGAGUGGAGGGUGCCCCCCUGUAGGGCGCGCCCCCCUGUCUCGUGGGCACCUCGUGUGCCCCCGGACUCCAUUUUCUUGUAUGUUACGUAUUUUGGUCGGUAAAAAUUCAUUAUAUAUACUCCCGAAGGUUUUUACCACCGUGUCACACAAAUAUCCUCUGUUUUCGUUUUGAGCUGUUUCUGUUUCAGAUCUAGAGCAUCAUGGCGUCUCCAAGCGCUCCCGAGGACAAGUUUUUUAGAGGGUUAUCAACCCCUAUCUCGCGGAGGUGCUGCAACACCCUCAAACCAUUGAGAUGCAUGAGGGGGUGCUGCACAUCCGCGAUGUGGAGGGACCAAGGCGUACCGGAAGCAUGGAGACAAAGCUCGAAGGCAUGGAGCAGGAAGUUUUCAAGUGUCAAGGGAUGGUGGAGCGUGGACUCAACGCCAACCAGAUGAUGAUCACGGAGUUCACCAACAAUCACAAGCUAGAUGCUAAAGUCAUUGGGGAGACCAUCUUCAAGCUUCAAGAGAAAAUCGAGCACCUCCAGGCCCAAAUCUAUGACCUGCAAAACCAGAACUGUGAGUAUGAAUAUAGAUUCAAACGAAUGAGUUUGGCUGCAAAUUUAAGGAUCCCGGAGACUCGAUCGUCCUUUUAUGAUGGAGAACCUAUGCCUUGGAAGACGGACGAUAAGCCUACAUCAUCAACAACUCCUACUUCACCACCUCCGAGGAAAUAAUCACAUGGGUACGGGCACUCCCCUUGGAAACUGCCAAGCUUGAGGGAGGUGCCCCGGUAUCGUAUCACCAUCACACUCCUAUCUUUACCGCUUUAUUUAGUUCGAUCCUUUUAGUAGUAUCUUGAUUUAGUAGUUUGAAGUUUUGAUAUCAAGUAGUUUGAGUUUUGCAUUGUGAUCUCUUUAUGUAAUUGAGUCUGUGUGCUAUCUAUAAUAAAGUUUAGUGUUGAGUCAAGGGCUUUGCUAUGUGCUAUGAUCUUGAGAAAGUAGAAAGAAUAAAAGAGUUCAUAUUGAUCUUAUGGAUAGUGAUAACUUCACACAUAGAAAGUAUGAGGCAUAAAAAUUGUUGAGAGUUGAUGAACGUAGCCUUGGUCAUCGUUGCAAUUAAUAGGAAGUGAUAAGGAAAGAGGGGUUCACAUAUAGAUAUAUUAUCUUGGACAUCUUUUAUGAUUGUGAAGCACCCAUUAAGUAUGACAUGCUAAAAGAGUUGAUGUUGGACAAGGAAGACAACGUAAUGGUUUAUGUUUACUGACAUCUCAGUUAAAGUAUAUUGUCAUUGACCUUCCAAACAUGUUGAGCUUGCCUUUCCCCCUCAUGCUAGCCAAAUUCCUCGCACCAACUAGAAAUACUACUUGUUCUUCCAAAUAUCCUUAAACCCAGUUUUGCCAUGAGAGUCCACCAUACCUACCUAUGGAUUGAGUAAGAUCCUUCAAGUAAGUUGUCAUCGGUGCAAGCAAUAAAAAUUGCUCUCUAAAUAUGUAUGACUUAUUAGUGCAGAGAAAAUAAGCUUUGUACGAACUUGUUGUGGAAGUAAUAAAAGCAACGGACUGCAUAAUAAAGGUCCACACACAAGGGGCAAUAUAAAGUGACGUUCUUUUGCAUUAAGAUUUCAUGCAUCAACCCUAAACGCGCAUGACAACCUCUGCUUCCCUCUGCGAAGGGCCUAUCUUUUACUUUAUGUUUUUACUUUAUGCUUGAGUCAAGGUGAUCCUCACCUUUCCCUUUUUAUUUUUAUCCUUUGGCAAGCUCCUCGUGUUUGAAAGAACAUGAUAUAUAUAUCUAAUUGGAUGUAAGUUAGCAUGGGCUAUUAUUGUUGGCAUCACCUAAAGGUGAAUAUGUGAGGAGGCAACACAAUAAGCCCCUACUUUCUCAGUGUCCGGCUGAAACUCUAUAACCACAAGUACUGCGUGAGUGUUAGCAAUUGUAGGAGACUACGAGAUAGUUGAGUAUGUGAGCUUGUUAAAAAUCUCUAUUAUUGACCCUUUCUGAGGUUACGAUAAAUUGCAAUUGCUUCAGUGACUGAGAUUAUAGUUUGUUAGUUCCCAAUGAAGUUUCUGAACCAUACUUGAUAUUGUGAAUUGCUUGUUACUUGAGCAUAGGAAAUCAUAUGACAAAAUUUAUAUAUGUUACUGUUAUUAGAAUGAUCAUGAUGCCCUCAUGUCCGUAUUUUAUUUUUAUCGACACCUCUAUCUCUAAACAUGCAGACAUAUUUUUUGAUUUCGGCUUCCGCUUGAGGACAAGCGAGGUCUAAGCUUGGGGGAGUUGAUACGUCCAUUUUGCAUCAUGCUUUUAUAUCAAUAUGUAAUGCAUUAUGGGAUGUUAUUAUACAUUAUAUCUCAAUACUUAUGGCUAUUCUCUCUUAUUUUACAAGGUUUACCAUGAAGAGGGGGAAUGCCGGCAGCUGGAAUUCUGGCUGAAAAAGGGGUAAACGUUGGAAACCUAUUCUGCACAACUUCAAAAGUCCUGAAACUCCACGAAAUAAAAUUUUGGAAUUAAUAAGAAUUUAUGAGUGAAAGAAAUAGGCCAGGGGGCCCACACCCUGUCCAGGAGACAGCCCCCCCUAUAGGGCGCGCCCCUAUCUCCUGGGCCCCCUGGUGGGCCUCCGGCGUCCAUCUUCUGCUAUACCAUCACUUUUACCCUGGAAAAAAAUCCUGGGCAAGCUUACGGGACGAAACUCCGCCGCCACGAGGCGGAACCUUGGCGGAAUCAAUCUAGGGCUCUGGCGGAGCUGUUCUGCCGGGGACACUUCCCUCCGGGAGGGGGAAAUCAUCACCAACGUCAUCACCAAUGAUCCUCUCAUCGGGAAGGGGUCAAUCUUCAUCAACAUCUUCAUCAGCACCAUCUCAUCUCAAACCCUAGUUCAUUUCUUGUAUCCAAUCUUGUAUCAAAACCACAAAUUUGUACCUGUGGGUUGCUAGUAGUGUUGAUUACUCCUUGUAGUUGAUACUAAUUGGUUUACUUGGUGGAAGAUCAUAUGUUCAGAUCCUUUAUGAAUAUUAUUACCCCUCUGAUUAUGAACAUGAAUAUGCUUUGUGAGUAGUUACGUUUGUUCCUGAGGACAUGGGAGAAGUCUUGCUAUUAGUAGUCAUUUGAAUUUGGUAUUCGUUCGAUAUUUUGAUGAGAUGUAUGUUGUCUUUUCCUCUAGUGGUGUUAUGUGAACGUCGACUACAUGACACUUCACCAUCAUUUGGGCCUAGAGGAAGGCAUGGGGAAGUAAUAAGUAGAUGAUGGGUUGCUAGAGUGACAGAAGCUUAAACCCUAGUUUAUGCGUUGCUUCGUUAAGGGUUGAUAUGGAUCCAUAUGUCUAAUGCUAUGGUUAGGUUUACCUUAAUACUUAUUUUUGUAGUUGCGGAUGCUUGCAAUAGGGGUUAAUCAUAAGUGGGAUGCUUGUCCAAGUUAGGUCAGUACCCAAGUACCGGUCCACCCACAUAUCAAAUUAUCAAAGUACCGAACGCGAAUCAUUUGAGCGUGAUGGAAACUAGCUUGACGAUAAUUCCCAAUGUGUCCUCAAGAGCUCCUUCCUCAUUAUUAGAAAUUGUCCAGGCUUAUCCUUUGCUACAUAAAGGAUUGGACCACCUUCCUGCACUUUAUUUACUUUAUUUACUUGUUGCUAAUUACUAUUUAUCUUAUCACAAAACUAUCUAUUACCUACAAUUUCAGUGCUUGCAGAGAAAACCUUACUGAAAACCGCUUAUCAUUUCCUUCUGCUCCUCGUUGGGUUCGACACUCUUACUUAUCGAAAGGACUACGAUAGAUCCCCUACACUUGUGGGUCAUCACCCCACUGGAAGAAGAGCACUUCAGGUCUCUUCGCUUCUUGUGACAAUCUGACUCUGGGUGACUUGGCCUGUUGUAGUAGCCACAGAAGGUGUGGGAGCGCGACCGACCCUCCCCUGAAGGUGUGGGCAGAAGUGGUGGAGCAGAAGACAUAGGAGCACGGGCAGCAAGACAGUAGGAACCACAAGAAGACCAGCAGACCGGAGGCGUGUCUCCUCAGCACGAAGCUCUGCAAGCACCUCCGAAAUAGGAACACGACCACGAGCAAGCAUGUGAGCAUGGCGAGGCUCAAACUCAGACCGGAGGCGAGAUAAGAACUCAUGAACCCUCUGAAACUCUAAGUCAGACCUCGUAGUCUGGUAACAACGACAAGUGCCACAAACAAUUGUCUGCAGUGAGUCAAGCUGACGCCAGAUGGCAGAGCACUGAGAGUAGAACUCAUCAACAGACGAGUCACCCUGCUGAAGAGCAUGCUCCUGACGCACCACAGAGAGGUACAGAGCAUUGCAGAGGGCUGAUAGCGCUGACAAAGAUAGGACCACAUCGCUGCAAUAGUGCCGAGGCCCAUGAACUCCAAAGCAAACUGAGGGAGGACACUCGCAAUGAGAACAACAGCAGCACGAGCAUCAUCAUUACACCACUGAGUGUAAGUAGACAGAUCAUCCCGAUAGACAGAAAGAGCAUCGGAAUAUGCAGAUACCUAUUGAUCGUAGGUAGCAACGGCAGCAUCAUCAAAGGCCUUGGCGGCAUCCCGAUCAGCCUGUGAAGCCUCAGCAGCAAGCACCGGUGGUACUGGCAAAACAAGAGAAACUGUAGCAACAGGACAUGGCGGACAGGAUACCUCUCCAGAUAAAACGCCCCACAGCAGAAGACCGCACAUGUGAAUACGCAUGAAGCCCGCAAACUCGGCAUAGUUAGUGCCAUCGAAGAUCACCGAGCACCGAGGAACAACGACAUAGCCCGAAGAAGACAUGAGGGAGUCACUCUUCGCGUCCAUGUUUUUUUGGUCAACACAGAACACCCGAGUAGAGUCCGGAGCGAGGGGCCCAAACUGUAUUCGGCUCGAGAGGCCCGAAGUGUAUGCGGGAGGAGCCCCGUGUUGGAGAAUGUUGCAGAAAAUAAAAAAUUUCUACGCUUCACCAAGAUCAAUCUAUGGAGUCAUCUAGCAACGAGAGAGAGGAGUGCAUCUACAUACCCUUGUAGAUCACGAGCGGAAGCGUUCAAGAGAACGGGGUAGAUGGAGUCGUACUCGUCGUGAUCCAAAUCACCGAUGAUCCUAGCGCCGAACGGACGGCACCUCCGCGUUCAACACACGUACGGUUGGGAGAGACGUCUCCUCCUUCUUGAUCCAGCAAGGGGGAAGGAGAGGUUGAUGGAGAUCCAGAAGCACGGCGACGUGGUGGUGGAAGUAGCGGGGAUCUCGACAGGGCUUCACCAAGCUCAGCGAGAGGGAGAGGUGUUACGGGGGGAGAGGAAGGCGCCAGGGGCUUGGGUGUGCAGCCCUCCCUCCCCCCUCUUUAUAUAGGGGCCCUGGGGGGGCGGCCCCCUAGAGAUCCAAUCUCAAGGGGGGGGGGGAGGGGGCGGCCAAAGGGGAGAACUUGCCCCCCAAGUCAGGUGGGGCGCCCCCACCCCCAGGGUUUCCAACCCUAGGCGCAGGGGGAGGCCCAAGGGGGGCGCACCAGCUCACCAGGGGCUGGUUCCCUUCCCACUUCAGCCCAUGGGGCCCUCCGGGAUAGGUGUCCCCACCCGGUGGACCCCCGGGACCCUUCCGGUGGUCCCGGUACAAUACCGGUGACCCCCGAAACUUUCCCGAUGGCCGAAACUGGACUUCCUAUAUACAAAUCUUUACCUCCGGGCCAUUCCGGAAAUCCGUCCGGGAUCUCAUUCGGGACUCCGAACAACUUUCGGGUUACCGCAUACUAAUAUCUCUACAACGCUAGCGUCACCAAACCUUAAGUGUGUAGACCCUACGGGUUCGGGAAUCACGCAGACAUGACCGAGACAGCUCUCCGGCCAAUAACCAACAGCAGGAUUUGGAUACCCAUGUUGGCUCCCACAUGUUCCACGAUGAUCUCAUCGAAUGAACCAUGAUGUCGAGGAUUCAAGUAAUCCCGUAUACAAUUCCCUUUCUCAAUCAGUAUGUUACUUGCCCGAGAUUCGAUCAUCGGUAUCUCAGUACCUCAUUCAAUCUCGUUACCGGCAAGUCACUUUACUCGUACCAUAAUGCAUUAUCCCAUGACCAACCACUUGGUCACAUUGAGCUCAUUAUGAUGAUGCAUUACCGAGUGGGCCCACAGAUACCUCUCCGUCACACGGAGUGACAAAUCCCAGUCUCGAUUCGUGUCAACCCAACGGACACUUUCGGAGAUACCUGUAGUAUACCUUUAUAGCCACCCAGUUACGUUGUGAUGUUUGGUACACCCAAAUCACUCUUACGGUAUCCGGGAGUUACAAGAUCUCAUGGUCUAAGGAACUGAUACUUGGCAUUAGAAAAGCUCUAGCAAACGAACUACACGAUCUUGUGCUAUGCUCAGGACUGGGUCUUGUCCAUCACAUCAUUCUCCCAAUGAUGUGAUUCCGUUAUCAAUGACAUCGAAUGUCCAUGGUCAGGAAACCGUAACCAUUCAUUGAUAAACGAGCUAGUCAACUAGAGGCUCACUAGGGACAUGUUGUGGUCUAUGUAUUCACACAUGUAUUACGAUUACUGGAUAACACAAUUAUAGCAUGAACAAUAGACAAUUAUCAUGAACAAGGAAAUAUAAUAAUAACCAAUUUAUUAUUGCCUCUAGGGCAUAUUUCCAACAGUCUCCCACUUGCACUAGAGUCAAUAAUCUAGUUACGUUGUGAUGAAUCAAACACCCAUAGAGUUCUGGUGUUGAUCAUGUUUUGCUCGCGGAAGAGGUUUAGUCAACGGAUCUACGACAUUCAGAUCCGUAUGCACUUUACAAAUACCUAUGUCUCCAUCUUGAACAUUUUCAUGAAUGGAGUUGAAGAGACGCUUGAUGUGCCUGGUCUUCUUGUGAAACCUGGGCUCCUUGGCAAGGGAAAUGGCUCCAGUGUUGUCACAGGAGAGAGUCAUCGGCCCCGACGCAUUGGGAAUAACUCCUAGGUCGGUAAUGAACUCCUUCAUCCAGAUUGCUUCAUGUGCUGCCUCCGAGGCUGCCAUGUACUCCGCUUCACAUGUAGAUCCCGCCACGCCGCUUUGCUUGCAACUGCACCAGCUUACUGCCCCACCAUUCAAAAUAUACACGUAUCCGGUUUGUGACUUAGAGUCAUCCAGAUCUGUGUCGAAGCUAGUGUCGAUGUAACCCUUUACGACGAGCUCUUCGUCACCUCCAUAAAUGAGAAACAUAUCCUUAGUCCUUUUCAGGUACUUUAGGAUAUUCUUGACUGCUGUCUAGUGUUCCAUGCCGGGAUUACUUUGGUACCUUCCUACCAAACUUACGACAAGGUUUACAUCAGGUCUGGUACACAGCAUAGCAUACAUAAUAGACCCUAUAGCCGAGGCAUAGGGGAUGCCACUCAUCUUUUCUCUAUCUUCUGUCGUGGUCGGGCAUUGAGCUGAGCUCAAUUUCACACCUUGCAACACAGGCAAGAACCCCUUCUUGGAAUGAUCCAUAUUGAUCUUCUUCAAUAUCUUAUCAAGGUAUGUGCUUUGUGAAAGACCUAUGAGGCAUCUCGAUCUAUCUCUAUAGAUCUUGAUGCCUAAUAUGUAAGCAGCUUCUCCAAGUUUCUUCAUUGAAAAACACUUAUUCAAGUAGGCCUUAAUGCUGACCAAAAGUUCUAUAUCAUUUCCGAUCAAAAGUAUGUCAUCUACAUAUAAUAUGAGAAAUGCUACAGAGCUCCCACUCACUUUCUUGUAAAAGCAGGCUUCUCCAUAAGUCUACAUAAACCCAAACGCUUUGAUCAUUUCAUCAAAGCGAAUGUUCCAACUCCGAGAUGCUUGCACCAGCCCAUAGAUGGAGCGCUGGAGCUUGCAUACCUUGUUAGCAUUCUUAGGAUCGACAAAACCUUCCGGCUGCAUCAUAUACAAUUCUUCCUUAAGAUAAUUGUUAAGGAAUGCCAUUUCGACGUCCAUUUGCCAUAUCUCAUAAUCAUAGUAUGCGGCAAUUGCUAACAUGAUUCAGACGGACUUCAGCUUUGCCACGGGAGAGAAAGUCUCAUCGUAGUCAACCCCUUGAACUUGUCGAUAACCCUUAGCGACAAGUCGAGCCUUAUAGAUGGUAACAUUACCAUCCGCGUCCGUCUUCUUCUUAAAGAUCCAUUUAUUUUCUACCGCUUGCCGAUCAUCGGGCAAGUCUGUCAAAGUCCAUACUUUGUUUUCAUACAUGGAUCCUAUCUCGGACUGCAUGGCUUCAAGCCAUUUGUUGGAGUCUGGGCCCACCAUCGCUUCUUCAUAGUUCGAAGGUUCACCGUUGUCUAACAACAUGAUUUCCAGGACAGGGUUGCCAUACCAUUCUGGUGUGGAACGUGUCCUUGUGGACCUUCGAAGUUCAGUAGCAACUUGAUCCAAAGUACCUUGAUCAUCAUCAUUAACUUCCUCUCUAGUCGGUGCAGGCACCACAGGAACAUCUUCCUGAGCUGCGCUACUUUCCGGUUCAAGAGGCAGUACUUUAUCAAGUUCUACUUUCCUCCCACUUAUUUCUUUCGAGAGAAACUCUUUCUCCAGAAAGGACCCGUUCUUGGCAACAAAGAUCUUGCCUUCGGAUAUAAGGUAGAAGGUAUACCCAAUGGUUUCCUUAGGGUAUCCUAUGAAGACGCAUUUUUCUGACUUGGGUUCGAGCUUUUCAGGUUGAAGUUUCUUGACAUAAGCAUCGCAUCCCCAAACUUUUAGAAACGACAGCUUAGGUUUCUUCCCAAACCAUAAUUCAUAUGGUGUCGUCUCAACAGAUUUAGACUGUGCCCUAUUUAAAGUGAAUGUAGCUAUCUCUAGAGCGUAUCCCCAAAAUGAUAGCGGUAAAUCGGUGAGUGACAUCAUAGAUCGCACCAUAUCCAAUAGAGUGCGAUUACGACAUUCGGACACACGGUUACGCUGAGGUGUUCCAGGCGGCGUGAGUUGUGAAAUGAUUCCACAUUUCCUUAAGUGUGUACCAAAUUCGUGACUUAAAUAAUCUCCCCCAUGAUCUGAUCGUAAAAACUUUAUCUUUCGAUCACGUUGAUUCUCUACCUCACUCUGAAAUUCCUUGAACUUUUCAAAGGUCUCAGACUUGUGUUUCAUCAAGUAGACAGACCCAUAUCUACUUAAAUCGUCAGUGAGAGUGAGAACAUAACGAUAGCCUUCGCGAGCCUCAACGCUCAUUGGAUCGCGCACAUCAGUAUGUAUGAUUUCCAAUAAGUUGGUUGCUCGCUCCAUUGUUCCGAAGAACGAAGUCUUGGUCAUUUUGCCCAUGAGGCAUGGUUUGCAUGUGCCAAAUGAUUCGUAAUCAAGAGACUCCAAAAGUCCAUCAGCAUGGAGCUUCUUCAUGCGUUUGACACCAAUGUGACCAAGGCGGCAGUGCCACAAGUAUGUGGGACUAUUGUUAUCAACCUUGCAUCUUUUGGUAUUCACACUAUGAAUAUGUGUAACAUCACGUUCGAGAUUCAUUAAGAAUAAACCAUUGACCAGCGGGGCAUGACCAUAAAACAUAUCUAUCAUAUAAAUAGAACAACCAUUAUUCUCGGAUUUAAAUGAGUAGCCAUCUCGUAUUAAACGAGAUCCAGAUACAAUGUUCAUGCUCAAAGCUGGCACUAAAUAACAAUUAUUGAGGUUUAAAACUAAUCCCGUAGGUAAAUGUAGAGGUAGCGUGCCGAUGGCGAUCACAUCGACCUUGGAACCAUUCCCGACGCGCAUUGUCACCUCAUCCUUCGCCAGUCUCCGCUUAUUCCACAGCUCCUGUUUUGAGUUACAAAUAUGAGAAACCGCACCGGUAUCGAAUACCCAGGAGCUACUACGAGUACUGGUAAGGUACACAUCAAUUAAAUGUAUAUCACAUAUACCUUUGGUGUUGCCGCCUUCUUGUCCGCUAAGUACUUGGGGCAGUUCCUCUUCCAGUGUCCGCUUCCCUUGCAAUAAAAGCACUCAGUCUUAGGUUUGGGUCCAUGCUUUGGCUUCUUCCCGGCAACUGGCUUACCAGGCGCGGCAACUCCCUUGCCGUCCUUCUUGAAGUUCUUCUUACCCUUGCCUUUCUUGAAACUAGUGGUUUUAUUGACCAUCAACACUUGAUGUUCCUUUUUGAUCUCCACCUCCGCUGAUUUCAGCAUUGAAUAUACCUCAGGAAUGGUUUUCACCAUCCCCUGCAUAUUGAAGUUCAUCACAAAGCUCUUGUAGCUAGGUGGGAGCGACUGGAGGAUUCUGUCGACCACCGCGUCAUCCGGGAGAUUAACUCCCAGUUGAGAUAAGCGGUUGUGCAACCCAGACAUUUUGAGUAUGUGCUCGCUGAAAGAACCAUUCUCCUCCAUCUUACAACUGUAGAACUUGUCGGAGACUUCAUAUCUCUCGACCCGGGCGUGAGCUUGGAAAACCAUUUUCAGCUCUUGGAACAUAUCAUAUGCUACGUGCUGCUCAAAAUGCUUUUGGAGCCCUGGUUCUAAGCUGUAAAGCAUGCCGCACUGAACCAGGGAGUAAUCAUCACUACGCGACUGCCAGGCGUUCAUAACGUCUUGAGUUGCUGGGAAAACAGGUGCUUCACCUAGCGGUGCAUCUAGGACAUAUGCUUUCUUGGCAGCUAUGCGGAUGAUCCUCAAGUUCCGGACCCAGUCCGUAUAGUUGCUGCCAUCGUCUUUCAACUUGGUUUUCUCUAGGAACGCAUUGAAGUUGAGGGCAACAUUAGCGUGGGCCAUUUGAUCUACAAGACAUAUAUUGCAAAGAUUUUAGACUAAGUUCAUGAUAAUUAAGUUCAUCUAAUCAAAUUAUAUAAUGAACUCCCACUCAGAUAGACAUCCCUCUAGUCAUCUAAGUGAUCCAUGAUCCGAGUCAACUAGGCCGUGUCCGAUCAUCACGUGAGACGGACUAGUCAUCAUCGGUGAACAUCUUCAUGUUGAUCGUAUCUUGUAUACGACUCAUGUUCGACCUUUCGGUCUCUUGUGUUCCGAGGCCAUGUUUGUACAUGCUAGGCUCGUCAAGUCAACCUAAGUGUUUUGCAUGUGUAAAUCUGGCUUGCACCCAUUGUAUGUGAACGUUAGAAUCUAUCACACCCGAUCAUCACGUGGUGCUUCGAGACAACGAACUUUCGCAACGGUGCACAGUUAGGGGGAACACUUUCUUGAUAUUAUUAUGAGGGAUCAUCUUAUUUACUACCGUUGUUCUAAGCAAAUAAGAUGCAAAAACAUGAUAAACAUCACAUGCAAUCAAAUAGUGACAUGAUAUGGCCAAUAUCAUUUUGCUCCUUUUGAUCUCCAUCUUCGGGGCGCCAUGAUCAUCAUUGUCACCGGCAUGACACCAUGAUCUCCAUCAUCGUGUCUUCAUGAAGUCGUUACGCCAAUGAUUACUUCUACUACUAUGGCUAACAGUUUAGCAACAAAGUAAAGUAAUUACAUGGCGCUAUUCAAUGACACACAGGUCAUACAAUAAAUAAAGACAGCUCCUAUGGCUCCUGCCGGUUGUCAUACUCAUCGACAUGCAAGUCGUGAUUCCUAUUACAAGAACAUGAUCAAUCUCAUACAUCACAUAUAUUUCAUUCAUCACAUCCUUUUGGCCAUAUCACAUCACAAGGCAUAUGCUGCAAAAACAAGUUAGACGUCCUCUAAUUGUUGUUGCAUGUUUUUACGUGGCUGCUAUAGGUUUCUAGCAAGAACGUUUCUUACCUACGCCAAAACCACAACGUGAUAUGUCAAUUUCUAUUUACCCUUCAUAAGGACCCUUUUCAUCGAAUCCUAUCCGACUAAACUGGGAGAGACAGACACUCGCUAGCCACCUUAUGCAACUAGUGCAUGUCAGUCGGUGGAACCUGUCUCACGUAAGCGUACGUGUAAGGUCGGUCCGGGCCGCUUCAUCCCACGAUGCCGCCGAAACAAGAUAAGACUAGUAUUGACAAGUAAAUUGACAAAAUCGACGCCCACAACAAUCUUGUGUUCUACUCGUGCAUAGAAACUACGCAUAGACCUAGCUCAUGAUGCCACUGUUGGAGAAGGUUGCAGAAAAUAAAAAAUUUCUACGCUUCACCAAGAUCAAUAUAUGGAGUCAUCUAGCAACGAGAGAGAGGAGUGCAUCUACAUACCCUUGUAGAUCGCGAGCGGAAGCGUUCAAGAGAACGGGGUUGAUGGAGUCGUACUCGUCGUGAUCCAAAUCACCGAUGAUCCUAGCGCCGAACGGACAGCACCUCCGCGUUCAACACACGUACGGUUGGGAGAGACGUCUCCUCCUUCUUGAUCCAGCAAGGGGGAAGGAGAGGUUGAUGGAGAUCCAGCAGCACGACGGCGUGGUGGUGGAAGUAGCGGGGAUCUCGGCAGGGCUUCGCCAAGCUCAGUGAGAGGGAGAGGUGUUACGGGGGGAGAGGGAGGCGCCAGGGGCUUGGGUGCGCAGCCCUCCUUUCCCCCUCUCUAUAUAGGGGCCCUGGGGUGGGGGGGCACCGGCCCCCUAGAGAUCCAAUCUCNNNNNNNNNNNNNNNNNNNNNNNNNNNNNNNNNNNNNNNNNNNNNNNNNNNNNNNNNNNNNNNNNNNNNNNNNNNNNNNNNNNNNNNNNNNNNNNNNNNNNNNNNNNNNNNNNNNNNNNNNNNNNNNNNNNNNNNNNNNNNNNNNNNNNNNNNNNNNNNNNNNNNNNNNNNNNNNNNNNNNNNNNNNNNNNNNNNNNNNNNNNNNNNNNNNNNNNNNNNNNNNNNNNNNNNNNNNNNNNNNNNNNNNNNNNNNNNNNNNNNNNNNNNNNNNNNNNNNNNNNNNNNNNNNNNNNNNNNNNNNNNNNNNNNNNNNNNNNNNNNNNNNNNNNNNNNNNNNNNNNNNNNNNNNNNNNNNNNNNNNNNNNNNNNNNNNNNNNNNNNNNNNNGGGCUGGUUACCUUCCCACUUCAGCCCAUGGGCCCCUCCGGGAUAGGUGGCCCCACCCGGUGGACCCCUGGGACCCUUCCGGUGGUCCCGGUACAAUACCGGUGACCCCCGAAACUUUCCCGGUGGCCGAAACUGGACUUCCUAUAUACAAAUCUUUACCUCCGGACCAUUCCGGAACUCCUCGUGAUGUCCGGGAUCUCAUCCUGGACUCCGAACAACUUUCGGGUUACCGCAUACUAAUAUCUCUACAACCCUAGCGUCACCAAACCUUAAGUGUGUAGACCCUACGGGUUCAGGAAUCACGCAGACAUGACCGAGACAGCUCUCCGGCCAAUAACCAAUAGCGGAAUCUGGAUACCCAUGUUGGCUCCCACAUGUUCCACGAUGAUCCCAUUGAAUGAACCACAAUGUCGAGGAUUCAAGUAAUCCCGUAUACAAUUCCCUUUGUCAAUCGGUAUGUUACUUGCCCGAGAUUCGAUCGUCGGUAUCCCAAUACCUCGUUCAAUCUCGUUACCGGCAAGUCACUUUACUCGUACCGUAAUGCAUGAUCCCGUGGCCAAUCACUUGGUCACAUUGAGCUCAUUAUGAUGAUGCAUUACCGAGUGGGCCCAGAGAUACUCUCCGUCAUACGGAGUGACAAAUCCCAGUCUCGAUUCGUGUCAACCCAACAGACACUUUCGGACAUACCUGUAGUAUACCUUUAUAGCCACCCAGUUACAUUGUGACGUUUGGUACACCCAAAGCACUCUUACGGUAUCCGGGAGUUACACGAUCUCAUGGUCUAAGGAAAUGAUACUUGACAUUAGAAAAGCUCUAGCAAACGAACUACACGAUCUUGUGCUAUGCUCAGGAUUGGGUCUUGUCCAUCACAUCAUUCUCCCAAUGAUGUGAUCCCGUUAUCAAUGACAUCGAAUGUCCAUGGUCAGGAAACUGUAACCAUUCAUUGAUAAACGAGCUAGUCAACUAGAGGCUCACUAGGGACAUGUUGUGGUCUAUGUAUUCACACAUGUAUUACAAUUUCCAGAUAACACAAUUAUAGCAUGAACAAUAGACAAUUAUCAUGAACAAGGAAAUAUAAUAAUGACCAUUUUAUUAUUGCCUCUAGGGUAUAUUUCCAACACCCCGCUCACGAGCGGCUCGAGGAGGCAGUUGCGCUCGAGGAGGCCGGCUGCUGGAACGAGGCCAAGCAGCAGCGGCUGGUACAGAGCAGCAACGGCCACCCCAGGGCAGUGUCCACUCCAGGGCGUAUCCCGACCGGACACGGGACGAGCAGGCCCGGCCGGAUCCGCGACGAGUGGCGGACGAGUGGCAAGAAGGAGCCCCUGCCGCGGACGGGACGAGCAGGUCCCGGCCGGAUCCACGUCGAGGGGCAAGGAGGAGCCCUGGCCGGGCGCGAGACGAGCAUGGCCCGGCCGGAUCCGCGAUGAGGUGCGGCUGAGCCUGACGGGGAGGCCGGGCACAUGACUAGCAGGCCCCGGCGGAUCCGCGGCGAGAAGGACCGGGGGCGGCCAGAAUCGGAUAGAGAGCAGCGUCAGCCGGACGGCAACGGGACGGAGCAAAUUGGAGGAGGAGAGCUAGCACGGAGUUGCAGCGUGCGGGAGAGGGAGGAACCUAAUUAACACCUGAUACCAUGUUGGAUAAACAAUAACUGGCAUUGCUGAGGGCCAUGGGCCAGUACAUAUACAGAUGUGGUAAAGUGCAGAAAAGCCCCUUAUACAAUGGGGAUGUACACAAGUAACUAUACACAUCUAACACCGAGUAUACUACUGAUGCUCCCAUCCGAACUAUAUCUUUAAAAUAAUAUAAUAAUUGUAAAAGAACAUAUCUUUUGUGAUAUGAAGUAUUGUACUUGUAUAAAAAAUUAGCCAAAUAAUACUUCCAUGAUAUUCUGGGCGAAGAAAACAAAGCUAAUCUUUUCCUAAUAAUAAGAAUUGAGUUUAUAAAGGCACGAGCCCAGCCCAACUAAGCCAGCGACCACAGCCCACAAAACCAAAGGGUUAAAGCCCUGGGCAAGGCCAAAAAAUUACUCUUGUGCAGAAUAGUCCCGCCUUGCUCCCUUACAUUAAAUACUCCUAAUUUAUAUACGCUUUUUAGUUUUCUCAGCGUCAAGGAGCUGGAAUUAAGGAGUGAAGGGUGUGACAACUAAGCGUGCAAGGAAAAAGAAAGUCUCUGACUUGAGAAUAAGGAUGGCUCUCAUGGACCGUCUAAUCAAAGGCUUAGGAAGGAUAAAUGAUGACGCCUGGUUGGCUGGUUUCUUGUUCAAAUUAAAACAAGCAGGCAUGUACAGAGCACACAUUUGUCAAGUUCCUAAACUUUUUAGAGAUUCUAAUAUAGAUACAUACGGAGAGGGAGUAGAGGGAGUAGUGCAGGCAUGUAAUAAUUAGUGCUCAGGAGUGACGAAUCAAAAACAUGCUGAAACCAAAACUGAAAGCUAACCAUUUUCAUCUCACUAAGUGGAAAUGCUUUAUUUUUGCCUUGAUGAAAGGGGAGUACUAGGCGCCGGUGCGCCGGCCCAAUAGUUGGGACGGUUGAGCCUCAGCCGCCCGAUGCAGCGAGCCGCUGCCAUUCGAUCUGCGUGCGACCACAUCAUCAUUACCGUUGCGUCGUUAGCACGCGAUUGCGUAACUCCAUGUGGGUCUAGAAGAUAAUGUAUCCAAUUAAGGUAUUAUACAUGCUGCACUGGACAACCAUAGAAUCGCCUUCCAGUUAAGGUUCCAUCAAAUGCCACACACUUAAUUGGCCUCAUGUGGUGCAUCAUGCAGGUGGGUUCAGAAAGCUCGAGCUGGCCACAGAAAAGAGGCUCCACGGUGGUGUCAGGGGUCUCCUGCAUGAACGCAUCAACAAAAUCACCUUAGCUCAUCAACAAGACAUAGAUCGAAAAUUAAUUCCCCAAUCCAACAAGAACCCUAACCCUAGUUUUGAAGCAUGCAUAAACCUAGCUCAAAUAGCAACCAUAAGCCUGCCUACUAAAUAACAGUAACCAAAGCUUACCCUAGCUCACCAAGAUGAACUAGCUCCUAGAUGAACCCUAACCCUAGCUCAGCAGACCAAAAAUCUUACCCAAAGAGCCAUUUCCAUGCUUGCGAUGUCGCACUCACCCUCUGAGCUUGUAUCCCCGUCAUUCCAGGAAGGCAUGGUGGCGGUGGAGCUUUCACAACGCAAGUCGCCGCCGGCGUCGAAGAGCAGAGAGGAGAGUGAGAGUGAGAGCAGAGAUGAGUGCGGGCAGGGGAGGAGAGUGAGAGGGAGGGAGACAGUGACUUAAUAAUCACCAGGGCAGCGAGCGGGUACAGCCCGACUGCACCGGUCCGAGUAAUGGGUGUUAACGGCCUCGCUGUCAGCCAUGGCGCGACAUGCCUGGCAAGCGGGUCCGGACCGUCAGAAAACGGUUUAAAACGCUAGCAACUGGCAAUUUGGGUUUUUUGAGACAAACGACAAGAAAAGUGGUAGGUAUCAGCCACAAAUAAAAAAGUGGUGAUUUUUUUGGAACCCUAACACGAAAAAUGAUAGUUUUAUGCUAUUCACUCGCGGAAUGGUGAAUGUGAGUGGAGUGUGCGAUGCGACGACGACGACUGAUGAUUCUCUGUACUGUCGGUUGUGCUGUGUCCCAAAAACAUCCAGGAUUUUUUUUAAAAAAUUUACCACUCGCGACAGAUAUUUUGGGAUGGAGGGAGUACUAGUUUUGGCUGCCCGAGGCAACGACUGCCAUGGACGGCGGCCUUGCGCUUGCCCUGCGCGCCGAUGCGGAGGAGACGUGAGGGAGAGCAUGGGGAGGAACGAGGAGGCGGCAGAGAAGGGUUCGUCAUCGCCGUGGCAACACUCUCCGAUCGAAGUNNNNNNNNNNNNNNNNNNNNNNNNNNNNNNNNNNNNNNNNNNNNNNNNNNNNNNNNNNNNNNNNNNNNNNNNNNNNNNNNNNNNNNNNNNNNNNNNNNNNNNNNNNNNNNNNNNNNNNNNNNNNNNNNNNNNNNNNNNNNNNNNNNNNNNNNNNNNNNNNNNNNNNNNNNNNNNNNNNNNNNNNNNNNNNNNNNNNNNNNNNNNNNNNNNNNNNNNNNNNNNNNNNNNNNNNNNNNNNNNNNNNNNNNNNNNNNNNNNNNNNNNNNNNNNNNNNNNNNNNNNNNNNNNNNNNNNNNNNNNNNNNNNNNNNNNNNNNNNNNNNNNNNNNNNNNNNNNNNNNNNNNNNNNNNNNNNNNNNNNNNNNNNNNNNNNNNNNNNNNNNNNNNNNNNNNNNNNNNNNNNNNNNNUAGGGAACCUGAACAGAGACAGUGCGUGCAUUUUGUAUUGCAACGACUGUCUCUUUUAUGAGAGCGUGCAUGUUUGUGUAGUCCAAGUCGUUUGGGUCAAGCCCAAAAAGUUCAAGAAAAACAUUUGUUCAAAAUAUGUUCUUUUUCAGAGAAAUGUUCAAAAUUCAUAAAAAAGAUAACUCUUCUUUAAAAAGUUUUUCAAAUUUAUGCAAACAUUAACUUUUAUUGAAAAAGAAAAUUUUAACGUUUAACCUUAUCUUCAACGUUUAUUGAAAUUGGAUAUAAAAAAUGGUGCACAAUGACACAUGAAGCAGGUUGUGCAAAAAAACAUUUUUCAAAAAACAAAACAUUUUCAGAAAUAUAGUGUGCAGAAAAAAUGCUAUUACCCCUAAAAAUGAUUCUUUGCAAGAAAAACAUCUGUUCAAAAAGUGAUAUUUUUUAAAGAAAUGUUCAAAUUUCAUAAAAAUGUUAACUAUUCUUUAAAAAGUAUCCUAAUUUUAUGUAAACAUUACCUUCUAUUUUUUUUUUAAAAAAAAAUUUAACGUUUAACAUUUUCAUUAACUUUUAUUACAAUUAGAUAUAAAAUGGUGCAUAAUGGCACAGGAAGCAGGUUGUGCCUUUUUUUGCCCGGUGCAACGCACGGACAUGUGUACCAAUAGUACUAUUCAAGUUACUUUGUCAUCACUAAUUUAUUCAUCUUUUGCCCUAAGUCAAUGUGAAACAGUCCAGGAAGCUUUUUAUACUAAUCCAAUACUUGAUUAUAUUUCAUUUUUUACUUUUUUUACUUUUUUACGGUUACUAAAUUACUCGUAUUUGGUACAUAUAGGGUGCACUCGCACCAAGUUCCCUUUGAGAAUUUCCAAAGUUUCUUAACAUGUCUGUUAAUUAUUGGUCAAAAUGACUAGUGACUAUUGCUCAACAGAUGGAAUUGGAUGUUGAAUGAAUAACAAACUCAUAUAUAGCUCGCAUCAAGUUCCCUUUGAGAAUUUUCAAAGUUUCUUGACAUGUUGGAAAAAGAAAUUGGGCCAGUCGCUUUUUUGAGCCGUCCGAUGCAAAAUCACUCGCUGAAAACCCUUUCUUCAACCGUGCUUCUCUGGCGAAUGCCCACCCCACGUAAGAGACGACUUCCUUCUUCAUCUCCGACGCUUUCUUCUUCAUUCUCGAAUUCAACCAACCCAAAUUCGAAUUUCAGUGACUCACAUUUAGCUAUUGUGUAUAAUUCGUUAGUUGGUUUUAUCGGUCGAUGCAUUUGUCGCGAUGAUGAUAUAAUAAGCGAGAAAAAAAUUGCUUAGGUACACGAUUUUUUUGGGCAAGAAACGACCAAUUCGGAAGGCAAUUCACAAGACACUCUAUUCUCUUCGCUUUCAACCGACUCACAAAAACACAGAAGGAAGAUUAUUCCCGAAGCCGUAACAGCUUCCGGCCACACGACACACGCGUCACAGAGCCUCACCGCAACUCAUCAACACACUCCAUCCGACAGGCACUUCAGCAAGCUUCAUUUCAGCUUCAAGAGUUCAAACAUCCUCGUCCAUGCUGUCCUCGUCCCCGUCCUCCAUCACCCUCAUCUUCUUCACGGCCUUGGCCGCCUCGCCGCCGCCGCCGCCGAGGGCGCCGUUGGGCACCUGGAUGAGGAUGUCGGACCUCUGCCCCGUCUCGGCGUUCACCAGCCCGCCGCUGCGGUCCACCCGGUAGGCCAGCUCGUCCUUGUUGGCGGCGUCGAUGUACACCGUGCAGUUCUCGUCGAUCUCCUCCUGGAUCAGCAUCUUGGACAGCUGCGUCACCACCCGCUUCUCGAUCCACCUCCUGAUCGGCCGAGCGCCAUACACCUGCAACAACAAACAGAGUCAGCGUCCGAGUCCAAAGAAGGUGAAAAAAAAUCAGAAAUUUAGUAGUAGGAUGCAGUCACGUACUGGAUCGUAGGCCAGCGACAGGAUGACGUCCAGCGCGGCGUCGGUGACGGCCAGGGCGACGCCGCGCUCGGCGAGCCGGACGGCCACGUCCUUCAUCUGCAGGCGAGCGACCUUCCUCAGCUGCUCGUGGGACAGCGGGUCGAAGACGACGAUCUCGUCCAGCCGGUUCAGCAGCUCCGGCCUGAAGUGCCUCCUCACCUGCGCACACAACCACACACGAAGUUCAGCAUCACAUUGCAGAUCAGAGGUACAUCGGUGCUUCUGUAGUGGAGAUUGAGCUGAUCCACACAUACAUACCUCCUGCAUGACGAGGUCGCGCGCGACCUUCAUGGAGUUCUUGCCGACCAUCCCGGCGAGGAGGUGCUCGGCGCCGAGGUUGGAGGUCAUGAUGAUCACGGUGUUCCGGAAGUCCACCGUCCUGCCUUGCCCGUCGGUCAGCCGGCCGUCGUCCAGCACCUGGAGGAGCGUGUUGAACACCGCCACGUGCGCCUUCUCCACCUCGUCGAACAGGAUCACGCUGUACGGCCGCCUCCUCACCUGCUCCGUCAGCUGCCCGCCCUCCUCGUGCCCGACAUAGCUGCAUUCACAAGAACAAUUUGUAAUCCCAAAUCAGAACCCAAAUUCAGUCUUUGUUUACGGCUAAAAGAAUGCAGCAAUGAACAAAUUUUAGUGGAAAUCAUCAGUGGCUCAGUGUGCUUACCCAGGUGGCGCUCCGAUGAGGCGAGCGACGGAGUGCUGCUCCAUGUACUCGGACAUGUCGAUGCGGACGAGCAGGUUCUCGUCGUCGAACAGCUGCUCGGCGAGGGCCUUGGCGAGCUCGGUCUUGCCUACGCCGGUCGGGCCCAGGAAGAGGAACGACCCGGUGGGCUGCUGCGGCCGUCCAAGCCCCGCCCUGGACCUCAGCACCGCCUCGGCGACGGCGUUCACGGCCUCCGUCUGCCCGACCACCCUCGUGUGCAGCCUGUCCGCCAUGCCCACCAGCCGCUCCUUGUCGUUCUGCCCGAGCCGGGUCACCGGGAUGCCGGUCCACCGGCUCACCACCUCCGCGAUCUGCUCGGGGCCGACGGUCUCGGUGAGCAUCAGGUUCUCGCCGGUCUCGCCCUCCAGCUUGGCGAUGGCGGCGUCGAUCUCCUGGAGGGCGCCGUACUUGAGGUCGGCGACGCGUGCCAGGUCCAUGCGCCGCUCCGCCUCCUGCAGCGUGAACUGCAGCUCCUCGCGCCGCUGCUUCAGCUUCCGGAUCUCGUCGAUCCGCUCCUUCUCCUUGCGGUACUUCAUGGUCAGCGGCUGCAGCUUGUCCCUCAGGUCGUCCAGCUCCUUCCUCACCUCCACCAGCCGGGCCUUGCUGGCCUUGUCCUUCUCCUUCUCCAGCGCGUGGAGCUCCACCUCCAGCUGAAUCCGCUUCCUCUCCAGGUUGUCGAUCUCCUCCGGCUGGCUGUCCAGCUGCACCCUCACGUUCGCGCACGCCUCGUCCACCAGGUCGAUGGCCUUGUCCGGCAGGUGCCGGCCCAUGAUGUACCUCGCCGAGAGCUGCGCCGCGACGACGAUGGCGCGGUCCUGGAUGCGCACGCCGUGGUGCCCCUCGUACUUCUCCUUGAGCCCUCGCAGGAUGCUGAUGGUGUCGGCGACGCUCGGCUCGGCCACGUACACCUGCUGGAACCGCCGCUCGAACGCGGCGUCCUUCUCGACGUACUUGCGGUACUCCUCCAGCGUGGUGGCGCCGAUGCACCGGAGCUGGCCACGCGCGAGCAUCGGCUUGAACAGGUUGGCCGCGUCCAUGGACCCCUCCGUCCUGCCGGCACCGAGGACGAG
rnacentral:lncRNA from 1 species